GAAUUCGGAAAACGGGGAAAUAACAGACAAUUAAACACAAUUCCCUGGUUUAUUUAAGUGCAAUAAACUAAAUAUAGUUCAAGAAAUAACCACUCAUCAAAAUAGACCACACUUAGUCUUUUACACUCCUGGGCAAAACCAAGACGAAAACCAGGGAACUACUCAAACAUCAGGGGGGUGACACAGACUCGACAGAUAGACAACACAGACUCACAAAACAGAAAUAAAGUUGCACAAUUCUCAUAAAAUCUGGACAGUGAAAGGCAUAGGCAGAAUCCCAUACAGAGUCAAUGAAGGCAGAUACUCAGAGAAUCAUCCAAACAGUUCAGUACAUGGAAAACAAUCAAUCAGUUCAAGAGAUGAAUCAAAAGCAACAGAGCCUCACAGAUGCACACAAUCAAUGUUUUUCUCAAGUGUUUAAGGUAAAUCAAUGUCACUCAAUGCACUCAAGAAAGCAAACACAAAUAGACUUGGCAAGCCUCUGAUAUCUGUUGGUACCAGUGAAAGCGUGGUUCGAAGAGUAUAACGCAGCGGAAUUAAAACUUAGAGUAGCGUAUAAGCGUGUUCAGUCACUUUUAACAAACAAGUUGGUCCUUUUUCGCAAAUCAAUUUUCUUUAAGAAAAUUUAUCAAACACUUAAUAUGCGUAAAAUGAAAUGAGUGUAGGGAAUAGAAAAAUCACACAAGUAUUUUUAUACUGGUUCAAUUCAACAUAAUCUACGUCCAAUCGUUAAACACUGUAAAAAGUGAUUAAUAGUUCCACUAAAAACAAUCUCGCAGAUUUACAAUAAGUAAACAAAAUAUAAAAGAACCUUCCUUCGACGAGCGAACCGGAAGAAGAC
rnacentral:lncRNA from 1 species